CUCCUCCUUUUCGGUUGUAAGUCCAAGAACAGCGAUAUAAAGGUAAAGAUAAAGGAAAAACUAAAGUAUGAAAGGAAGGCGACAAGGAGCUGAUGGAGGUGUGAUGUGUGGACUAUGGAAGCCUUGGGACUAAGUUUUAGAAAUCUAUAAAGACUUGUAUUUAGACUAUUGGAGUUUUUGCCACCAUGUGAUGAUUUGGUUUAGCUUCUUAGAUGUUUUAUGUUUUAUAUUUAUUAGAACUGCGUGGUUGUUUGUUUAA